CCCCUCCUCGACUUCCCCGAGCAGAGCUCCCUCCGACCCGACCCGACCCCAGCGACUCGGAUAGAUCCAGCGCCGCCGCCCGCCGCCGCUGUCAACCGGCCGGCUAGCCCGUCCUCCGUCGUCACCACCGCACCGGCUACUCGCUCCUAUCCCCGCGCGGCUCCGUCUUUCUCAAAGACGGGAGUUCACUGGUCCCAAAGAUUCACUGGUCGAGAGUCCGAGAAGAUGAUCCCCAAGGCGAAUGGAGUCGCUUGUGACCUUAGACGACGCAGUGGAGGAGCCUAG
rnacentral:lncRNA from 1 species